AUUGAACGCUGGCGGCAUGCUUUACACAUGCAAGUCGAACAGCAGCGCGGGCUUCGGCCUGGCGGCGAGUGGCGAACGGGUGAGUAAUACAUCGGAACGUGCCCAGUAGUGGGGGAUAGCUCGGCGAAAGCCGGAUUAAUACCGCAUACGACCUGAGGGUGAAAGCGGGGGAUCUUCGGACCUCGCGCUAUUGGAGCGGCCGAUGGCAGAUUAGCUAGUUGGUGGGGUAAAGUCCUACCAAGGCGACGAUCUGUAGCUGGUCUGAGAGGACGACCAGCCAACUGGGACUUGAGAACGGCCCCAAACCCCUCGGGGGGGAAGAGGGGGGAAUUUUGGGCAAUGGGGGGAAAGCUUGUCCAACAAAGGCGCGGGGGGGAAUGAAGCCUUCCGGGUUUAAACGACUUUUGGGCGGGACGAAAAAGGAUUGUCCAAAAACCACGGUUCGAUGCGGGACCCGGAAAAAAAAGCCCCGGCUAACACCGU
rnacentral:rRNA from 1 species